rnacentral:lncRNA from 1 species
AUGAAAACUGCUGAUAUUUUUCAGGGGUGGCCCAUUGAGUAAUCUUUUUAAACUGGAAGGAAAACACUGGAUUGGAUGAGCUUACAUACCUGGCAAAAUGGCUCAGGAAUGUAGUUUGCACUUAAGCUAUGAUUUUAUUUGUUCUCAUUCUGAACUCUUCUGGAUUUUGAAAGAAGCAAUAUGGAAGUGACCAGCAAAUUCAAAUUAUUUAAAUAUUUUUUUUAAAAGAGUAAUGAGGAAGAAAGACUGUGGAGAUGCCAAACCAAGUAAAUCGCAUCUUUGGAACAGUAUCCAAGGAUUACGGGAGGGCCAAGCACAUUGUCUCCCUGUGACAUUCAAUGAUGUGUGGAGAAAGGCCACCCAGUCCACAUCCUCCAUAUGAAGGAAAUUGAACCGAGCAAGACCUGAGCUGAAGUCCAUUAAGUGUCUAGUAUUAAAAUUAUAGUUGUUGAAUUAGAAGUUAACUCUAGCACAUAAGGUGGUAUAGUAUGUAGAAGGUUAAAAACAUACAGACAUGCAUGGCUCAGAGGAAUUGGGAUUAUAAAAACUAUAAAUGAUCAUGAUGCUUUUUCCAAGCUUUGAUUUUAUUUUCUGACACACUGACAAACUUUUGUAUAAUGAGUGCAGUUUUAUUUAACCAUUACAGUACCUCUUAUUUGGAAAACAUUUCCAUGGUAUCAUUGUGAAUUUUAAUGCUAAAUAGAUGUGAGAUGGUGAUGGGCCUAGUGGCAAGAAUAAGAGCUUCAAGUGCACUAGAAAUGUUCUUCUUUGGGGUGUGAGUAGAAAAGAAUAAAUUCUACCUAAGAUAAACAGACUUAGAGACAAAUUAAAAUCUAAAACCUAUAUUUAAGCAAUUUCAUUGAAAACGAUCACUGACCUUUUAGAGGCGAUUUGGGGAAACCCCAAAAGUAAAGGCCAUUUUUCUAUAUAGUUUGUAAGAGUAAAUUGCCUUAGAGUGGUCAUUGAGUUCUUUUAUUUGUACAUAUUCUUGUUGGACUCUUAUCAUUCAGGGACUGUUAACAGAGACUGAUUUUUUUUUUUGUCCUCUGUAAUUUGGAAAGUGUACCUUGUGAUUUCAUUCACAGAGCAAGGGUAAUCAAGAUGCUGCUACCAAUUACAUUAAGUGCUACCAUUACAUUACGAACUAGGCUAGAGUGAUAUGGAAACCCUACAUAAAUUGGACUACUGGGCAGACAAACUCAAGAGGACUCAGAGCUAGUCUUAACAGCUUUGUCACCAAGAAAUCAGCUCUACUAAUAGAAAUGCUAGUAGUAAUUAGGGGACUUUAGCCAUAGACUCCAGAAAGAGAACAGUCAAGAAAAGGAAGUCUUACCAAGCCAUGAAAAAGAGAAACAAUGUCAAGGGAGGAAUAUAAAUUCUUCCAGAAUAGCACCAGCAACUAGAGUGACUUCCUGGAGAAAAGAAGUAAAAUGAGGGAAUCCUCAAUAAUUCAGGGUUUACUAGGGACAUAUCAGUAGCCUUCAGCCCAUUCAUUCAUUUGAAUGGAUCUCUUAAACAAAGAGUCUUCAUCACAUAGGUUUCUAAUAUACUUUUUUUUUUAAAUCCAUUCUGUCUCCAGGUAGUCAGUAAUGACAAUAUUUUCCUCAUCUCUCCUAUUUAAAAAAAUGCUAUAUAAUAUUUACAGAGUAUUUACUACAAUAGUACUUGGUUAUCAUGAAAAAUGAUGAAGAAAAUGGUUUCUUAGGGCAGUAUAUGAAGGUUCUGCUGAGGUGAUAGGCAAGUGGUUUCUGGGAACUAAGAUUAUCUCAAUUCCACUGCAAGAAUAAAAAAAGAUCUGAUCCCUAUGGCUCAGAUUAGGUUCCAGUAGUAUAUGGAUCAAUAGUAUACUGUGUAAUUCAGAUUGAGCCAAAUAGCUCUGAUUAUUCUCCCUUAAUUAUACCAGGGAUAUUCAUGUAUAUUCUAAGAAAGGUAACUGGAUGUGAUAUGCUAGGAAGAGAGUGAAAAUAUUUCAGCGGUUUCCAAGAUGGUGGGUUUUGGCUAGUAGAGCCAAACAUAAAACAAAAUAAAAUAAAACAAACAAACAGAAAAAAACUGCAAUAAGGAUCUAGGUAGUUCUCCAGGGGAUCAGAUGCCAGAGGAUGAUUGUACUAAUGGGAACUUUCAGUUCACUUAUGUAAAUUUGUGAUAUCUUAAAGUAAAUUUCAAGUGAGUGAACUUUUCAAAUCUACCAACAUUGUUUGUAGAUAAACCCACCUUGGGAAAUCACAUUUCCAGAAAUGAAAAGCUUUGAAGAUAAGUUGGUUAUUAAUAUAGUUAAGUAGCUCUUAGAUGGUGAGAUAUAAAGAGUCUCCCUGCUCCUAAACUGGUUUAGGUCCCUGUGCCUAUGGAAGCAUCUCAAAAAGGUUUGUGUACAUAUGUGUGUGUUUUUUCCCAUGGAGACAUUUUUCUCCUGGCAUUCCUAAUGGCAUAAAGAAAAUUUAUGUCAGGCCAGAAGUUGAACCAUUUUUCCAGUAAGCUUCUUUAAAACAAUAAAUAGAAUUGAGUGAAAUUUAGUCAAAGAAUUAAAAAUGAAAGUCAAAGUUGAGUAUUUCAUCUCUUUCAAUAUAAAUGACCAAAAGGGCAAGAGGAUUCAACAUCAGUCAUUGCACAGAUAGAUUACAAAGCAUAAGAUAGAAAAUAGUCUCACUAUAUAUAUAUAUAUAUAUAUAUAUAUAUAUAUAUAUAUAUAUGUUUUUAUGGAAGGACAGUUAGGUGCAUGGGUACCUCUAUUAUUGGAGUAAAUCAAGGAAAAAGACUUCAGGGUCUUAGCUGCUAAAUGAAGCUGGAUCAUCUAUCUUCUUUUGUUAAGAGUGAACAAAUUGUUUCCCCUUAACUUCUACAGGAAAAGAUGUAAAUACGUGUUUGCUCUGGAGCUAUCUAAUUCUUCUUUCAAAACUUGAAUUAUUUAUUCCGUGGUAAUUGUUGCUUGUUAAACUAUUUUAUUCAGUCAUAAGACAUUAAGAAGAAAGUCAUGAAAGCUCAUGAGCAGCUCUGCUCUGGCACUGGAAGAGGAAAACAUUUUCUCUGAGCACUGGACAAGUAAACCAAACAAAAUAACUAACCCCAGAAUACUUGAUAAUAAAAAAAGUAGAUGCAGAGGGAGAAAUUUAGGGUUGGUUGAACACAAACAAACAAACUGCCAUCAGAAUCCUUGCUUUCUGGAUAGAUCAUGAGAGCUAUUAAAAGAGCCAAACCCACCAAUAACAACUUGUUUUAUGGAGUUUUUGUGCUAUGGUUCUUUUUUUAAGAUGGCAUACUAAAAGAUACCUUCAAACACUGAAAUAAAUGUUUUUGACUGUUUUUGUUUUUAAACCUCUCUUUAGACUUUUCUCUGUCUUUUUAUUUAAUAUCAUGUAAAUCCAGUUGAGGGAUUAGGGAAGAGAAUAUAUCACCAUCUCAAAUAAAAAUGAGCUUUAAUCACUAACCAAGAUUCAUUUACAAUAAAAAAAAAUUCUCUCAUUUGGUGUGUUGGGAUAUAGAGAUAGCACAUGUGUAUGUGGGGUAAUUUCACUCCCUCACACAUUUUGUUUCUUUUUCUUAAGACCUGUUAGUGAAAUAUGUAUGCUAUUAUUUGAGUGAAAACUAUAAUUGCACUCUUCUUCUCAAAAAAAAAAAAAGAAAAGAAAAAGAAACAAGACAAUGAAAUAUAAUAGACCACUCUUUACGUUUCAAUUGGCUUGAAUACCAGAUAGUGACUUAAUAAUUCACAGUUUGCAUUAUUGGAAGUGUUUUUUCUCCUCAGUUUUCUGAAAGGGAAAGCUCCUGACAAAAAAACUAUUUGAGUAUAUGCAUGCAUGUUGAUGUACAUCCAAUUGGAGAACAACCCAGAACCCAGGGGAGAUGUACAACGAAGAGGAUAUUGAGCCAGUUGCUCAGGCAGAAAUGACACUGGAUAGAUGUUGAUUAGCUGAAAGCAUCAUUUUAAAAAAGAGGAAUAACAAAGAAACCGAGUCCUUACUAUGACUAAUAUUGCAAUGGGACUAUCUAUUUCCGAUUAGAUAAGAAUAAAUGCAAGUAGUUCAGCCCCAGCGAUACCUCAGUAAACAUAUAUUUCUAUAGCAUCAAACCUGACGUCUGCUGUGUGUAGUCUCUCAGGUCAGAAACCCUUCUGUUUCUAUGUUAACACUGCCGGCUGUUCUAUGUCUUUUAAUUAAAAGAAAAUAUUUCAUAAAAUUACAGAAGCUACAGACAGCCUCAUUCAUUUUUAUGGAGCAGUGAUAAAAAUAGGGCAUCUUCCUCUUACAUACAUUUACACAUAUUUCCUUCCUUGUCCCUUGACAAUGGUAAUACUUUGGGUGGGAUAAAAUUUUCCCAGAGUCAUGAGCUAAUAGAAAUCCUAAACUUGUAUUUUAUAUGGAAAAGUCAGUUUUACUUCCCCAGGCUUACUCUGGAAUUCACUUUUUUCUAAAAUUAACUUGGUCAGUAAAUGAUCAACUUGUUAAAAAUCACAGAAAUUAUUUCUACUAAAGAAUCAUUUGGUCUUCAGUUUUAAAGCUCCUUUUUCACUAAAAAUAAGAACAUAUAAAUAAACAAAAAACCCCACACCAUUUCCUGAGAGCCAAAUUGAUGGAGCUGAUGUAAAUUUUUAUUCUCACAAACCCUUUCUUUAUACCCUCCUGUUACUCAAAGCAAAACAUCAACCUUUCUUCCCAUUCCUCUUGGAACCACUGCCCAUCUUCUGCUCACUUUCUCACCAAUUAUUCCAUGAUUCCUUUCUUAAUGCCAUCCUGGAGCCCUGAUGAUUGAUCCCUUAUAAGCCAUAGUGGACCCUUAAGGUCUUGUACCUCACUUUGUGAAAUACUGAUCUAAGCUGUCCCCACAAACACAAGAAUGAAUUCUGUAUUACGUAGCCAAGUGAUUUGGCCAUGGUUUAGGGAUUUUGUUAGUUGUUGGGUUUUUUAGUUGUUGUUGUUUUGUUGGCUUGUUUUUAGCAUUUCACCAAGAAUUCCAGUUACUCUGCUUAUCUAUUAUAAGUUUUCCCAAAAGGAUAGAUUCACAUAUCAUGUCUUAUGCAUAUUAAUGUUGGAUGAGAGGCUGGUCUUCAAUGAAUCUUGCAACCCUUCUGAAUACAUAUAACACAUGUACACAAGACUUUGAAUUUUAGUUUUCCCAUAAAAAAAAAGAUAAUCGGAGGUUUGAUUUUUUUAAAGCAACAAUUAAUAUUCAUUUUCCAUUCUUUUUCAAUAAUUUAUUUUUACUUCCAGGCCUCAAAUUUUAAUAGUGUUAUUUUAUAUAAAAUCUUUUAAAAUGGAGUCUAAUGGAAUAACAUUUUUUUUGAAGAAAAAGAUAAGAAGUGUACCACUUUGAAGCAUCUUCUAGUGCUUUUGUCAUCAUGCGAUAUGAUCAAAAUUCAUGCUUUGGGAUAGUAUAUCAUUUUUCCCUACCUUUAUUCUUUCAAGGGCAGUUUCUCUUUUAAUGCUCCAGUGAGCCUUAUGCCAAUAAUCAAAAGUGUUCCUUUUUUCUACAAAGUCAUUCUAAAAAGGGUAACAAAACAAGAAAACAUACUUUCAUACCUGGAAGAAACAGUCAACAUGUCUCAAACCAUUUUGUCAUAACUCUUAUUUCCAUUUCCAAUGAACAGAUAUUUCUCCCUAACCCAGAAGUCUUUUUUUUGUUUCCUAUGAUAUAAAUCCAGUUUUCAACUUUGAUUUAUAGUGUUUUCAAUGAAUAGGGUUUGCUAUACUCCCUUUUUUUCCUGAAGAGAGAUUCACUUGCCCUAGAGCUUCCUGAUCUCUCAGGAGCUUGAAGAGGGAGUGAAGAAACAAUACCCAAACCAUAGCACUCUGAAGACUGACACCUUUUGGGAUUACCACAGUACCCCACUGGGAACAUUAUUUUCUAAGUGUAGAUAUGUAAGCUGUUCUUUUAAAGUAAGGUACUAUGAAAUAUGUAGCAUAAACUGGUACUGCUGUUAAAUGGGUCGAUUAUUAAACUGAGCAGCUGUAUGUAGGCAGCUAACUUUGAAUGUGCACCCCACCAAAGGCUGGUGUCCACAUCUCCAUGCUGUAUGUACUAGUUGCCCAGUGUUUUUGCAUGUUACAGUUACAUUCUUUAAAAUAUUUUGGUAGGCUUAGAUUCCUAUCCCUUACAUUGACUCCAACAAAAGAGAAUGAUAUUAACUUGAAGGCCAGUCCAUAGCACAAACAAAAUACCCUUAGUUUUCUUCUAAAGAAUCUUCUAGAUAUCCACCCCCAUUCUCUCCUCAAAGCCUUUAUAGUGAGAUCCAUUUAAAUAGUAAAGGUGAGACAUUACCUAAAAGACCAAGGCUGGGAGUAUCUUAUCCAUAUGUAUUCAUUUUCUAAUGUUCUGAACUUGUCAACAUAAAAUAACCCUCACUCUUAUGAAGUAUCUUCAAGGAACAGAGAUGUAGCAACAGCACCUUUUUGGGUAAGAAAUCCAUAUUUCAUUUACACCCCUACAUUCAAAGUUAGCUGCCUCUUUUUUUGAAAUAAAAAACUACUACUGUAUGUUACUUUGAAAAUGUGAAUAGUAUUUUUAUAGCUUGUUAAAAGACAUGGCUAGUUGCAUUUGUAAAUAAGGAUAAUGUUGCUUUUAUUUUCUUUUGUGGACAUCUUUAAUUGGAACAUAAUUGUCUUUAGGAUUGAUUUGUAUAUAAGUAAUUGACUUGUGAUUUUUUUUUUCUUUUUGGUUGGAAGGUAUCAUUUUGACAUUCUGUGUGAUUCCGUGUUUAGCACUAUUGUGGCGUGUUCAAACUUCUGCAUUUGCUUACACAAUAGGAUAUGCCAAUUGUGUGUGGUGUAAUGUUCUUUUAACAUUUUUUUCUAUUUCAGCUAUGAAGGAUUAUGCACUUAACACGUACUAACUUUUUAAUAUUAGGUAUAUAUUUUAGUAUAAUUUCCCCCUUUUAUUUUUUUCCUCAAAAAAACAAAAACACAAAAAAAUACCCCACAGGUUUCCCUUUUCCUUCCCCCCAUUGUUGUUUGAGAAUGAGGGAGAACCAGUAUCAUUAAUUUGUGUGAUUUAGGCUCUAUUUCAGUUCUUUCUCAAGUUCCAUCUUUUGGAUCUUGGGUAAGAGCUUCACUUGUUUAAGGCAAUUGUAGAAUGUGACCUGCUUUGCCUCAUUCCACUCUGAUCAUCCAGCUGAACAAUUUGAAAACUGUUCUGCUUUUUUGUUACAUGAAUCUGUCAGAAAUAUAUUUUUAAUUUAAUAUAAAUGAAAUUCAAU